rnacentral:lncRNA from 1 species
UGUUUUAACAAUUACCUAAUGGAGCUGCAAGAAAACUAUGAGAGGGAGUUGGUUAUCAUCGAUAAGAAAGAGAAAGAAAAGAAAAAAGCCAAGCACAUGGUCGUCUCCUCCUCGACGUUGUUUGACUACUUGUUUAACGGCAAGGCCAAGGGAAACCCCCACAAAGAAAUUGCCUUCCUUUCAAGGUUUGUUGUUCAAACAGAAGCCUCAGAAAAUGUCCAGUGUGAGCAAUGAAGGAAAAGAGAGAGGUAGAAGGGAAACAAAAGGGUUUCCAGUCCCCUUUCUCACUGGAAAACUCUGUGGAUAACUAUUCCUUGGGCCUAAAAAGCCCCUACAUAAUGAAGUCUGCCUCCAGUAAGCCCAGCAGCAGUAAGUCCAAAGGCAAGCAGGAUAUGCUCUUCCGACUCUCACCCUCCUCCAUUGAAUGAACACACCCAAGAACAGGAGGCCUCGGAGGGGACGCCCAUGUCUGCUGUCAGAUGUGAUAGAAAACAGAAUUAGCAAUGGGACAUAUGGAGUCUCUCCUGUGGACUGCGAAUAUUAAAGUUCACACUUGUCAUGAACCAUUCAGGGCUUAGACACACCAUACACCGAAUCCAUCAGACAUUUACUAAUUUGUUCUUUCAUUCACUUGAUAAUAACAACACAAUCCAACACAUCCUUGUGAAAUGUAGCAAGACCUUGUCUCGAAAACCAGCCAACAGCAAGGAUACCAAGGGAGCUGAGCUGCUAAGUCCCAGCUGUCUUUAGUCCCAGCACUCUCCAGGCCCGGGCACACAGGUAGAUCUGAGUUCGAGGCUGGUCGUUCCUACAUGUUUGUUAAAACAUGUGACACACACUUAUUUGAGGCUUACCCAUCUAUUAAUCUAUAUUGUUAGAUAUUCACAACGUUUAUUUAUGUUUUCAGUUUAAAUUUUUUAUUUGCCUUGCCUAUGCUAGCAAACCACUCCUUGCUGUUUGAGGGUCUUGCUGAGUUUUCUGGGACACCCGUGUGAGUCUCCUACCUUAGUCACUGGGCCCAGCUGCCUCUACCUGGUUUGGGGGUGAUCAUAAAGGAAGUUUACAGUAAAGCAACAGAAAUGAGUUUGAGCCUACAUAUUUGCAAUCCUUUAGUCCUGCACCUCUUUGUAUUAACUGUCUGAAGGGUGUCACCCCCUCCUGGGCCUACAGGCUCUCUCAGAGCUGUAAAACAGCUCACUUCUUUCCUGGGGAGUAGGCACAACCAAACAUUUCCAGGAAUUUUAGAUUCCUUUCAAGGUCCCUGAAACUCUGCCUGCCUCAUAAGCCAACUACACUUCUGGAAAUCUACCCUAUGAAAACCUGAGGAAAAAAGGCGUGUAGAAGAUGCUUCAUUUGUCGUCUCUGAGAAGAGGGGAAACUCGUUAAUAACAGACAUCCUAUGCAAUACUGUGUGGCCAUUUAAAGCUCUGUGGGAGGCAUGGGAAGUGCAGAGGUAAGAGUUGGGGUGUGGCCGAGCAGCGAGUACUGGUUGAGUAUGUCUUCUUGGUUUUGUUAACGUUUUCAAUAAAAACUAACUUUCUAUUUUGGUUUUGGUUUUUAAAACUUG